rnacentral:rRNA from 1 species
UACGAAGGGGGCUAGCGUUGUUCGGAAUUACUGGGCGUAAAGCGCGUGUAGGCGGGUCUUUAAGUCAGAUGUGAAAUCCCCGGGCUUAACCUGGGAACUGCGUUUGAAACUGGAAGGCUAGAGUGUGGCAGAGGGGGGUGGAAUUCCACGUGUAGCAGUGAAAUGCGUAGAUAUGUGGAGGAACACCGAUGGCGAAGGCAGCCCCCUGGGCUAACACUGACGCUCAUGCACGAAAGCGUGGGGAGCAAACAGG